GAUGUCAUUGACAUUUUUGAUAAAUGUGUUAUCAUGAGCUCUAUGUAAAGAAGAAAUCGGGCUAUAAAUUAGUUCUGGUUGAGGAACAAAGGAAGGAGCCAAAUUAUCCAGAAAUUGAUUAGACAUAGUAGACGGUAGACUGGGGGAUGAAUUCUUGAAAGCUGAUCUGAAACGUUUAAUAUUUUGCCAAACAAAAGAUGGUUUAACUUCAGCCCAGGAACACUCACUAUCCCACCAGGGAGGCAAUGGAAUAUUAUUUGAGGAAGGCUUCUUUGAUGGAAAAACUUCGUCAGCAGUCUCAAUAAUAGCAUGUGCAAAAGUUUCAGAACUCCGAUACACAUCACCUUGGCUUAAGAUAGAAAGAUGGGAGCCAUGACAAAUACAGCAAAAUGCCUCAUCUUCUGAUGUACAGCUGCUUCCAAAAUGACCGUCCUUACCACAUUUAAAGCAGCGAGGAGUUGAUCUACACAUAUCUUUGACAUGUCCAUAUCGACAACAUUUAAAACAUUGUAUAGUAGGGUAAAUAUAUAAGUCUACAGGAAAAGAAUUAAAACAUAUGAAAAUUCUUUUAGGAAGAAUUUGGCCAUCGAAAGUCAGGACAACUGUUUCCGUAUCAAUAAAACUGGCUUUAUUAUCAA